rnacentral:rRNA from 1 species
GUGCCAGCCGCCGCGGUAACACGUAGGGGGCGAGCGUUGUUCGGAAUUACUGGGCGUAAAAGGCAUAGGCUCAACCAAUGUAAGCACUUGAAACUGAAUGACUUGAGUAUAGGAGAGGUAAGCGGAAUUCCUAGUGUAGCGGUGAAAUGCGUAGAUAUUAGGAGGAACACCAGUGGCGAAGGCGGCUUACUGGACUAUUACUGACGCUGAGGUACGAAAGCGUGGGGAGCAAACAGGAUUAGAUACCCCG